rnacentral:misc_RNA from 1 species
AUUAAAAACCACUCAAGCUCUUUUGCUUGGUCAUGGAAGAAGAGUUUGCUUGCAAUCUCUCCUCCGAAAUUCAAAGGCGGAAAGUCUCAGAGCCCCGGCGUAGUAAUAAUAUUUCGCUUGGAACUUGAAAUGAUCCUGCCCUUAACCCCCAAUUUAUCUAGGUUGACCUCGGAUCAGGUAGGGAUACCCGCUGAACUUAA